AAGCAUUUGCAGCACUUGCCUGGAUCCUGGCCCCCCCCGCCCGGUCCCCUUCCAAGCGCUGCUUGAGAGCAAAGGCCGGUGACCCCCCGCAUUCCAGCGGCGCCUGCUGGGGGGUGACCCUGUCCCACAGACUUCCUGUUGCAGAGAUCCCAUGCCCUUCUGUUGCAACUCCCUUGCAUUAAACCAGCGGCCACUGUUGGCUGUGCCCGGUGAUAGGCUAUAUUUUAACCUACGUGACCUUAAGAGGAAUAAUUCUCGAACUUAAACAAAUAUAUGCAGAGCCUGCACAGCUCUGCACUAUUAUGAGCGUUACAAACACAGAGUGCAUAAUCCUGGAGUAUUUGGAGAGCUACAAAAAGAACCAAAUGAGUGGGGAACUUGGCUGUUUCUUGGGGGAUGAAUUGCUCACAUCUUUAAGAAUACAGAACUCUUCAGAAAGCUGCACCCAGGGACUUUCUUUCUCAAUUGGUGGAUUAAUAGUAAUUUUGGGCAAUCCAGCCUACCCAUUGCUCAUGAAGCUGUACACCAGCUACCUGGACAGCACCAAGGAAUGAUUCAAUUGUGACGAAGUGUGGCAUUUUCUUAAGAUUUUGAACGAAUACUGCGUGCCUCAGUUUCCCCUAUGUGUUGCAUGAUUAACUAUGUGGUGAAAUGGUGUUUGAUCUUUGCAGAGACUCCUAGAGGAACAGGUGUGAUUGUCUAGCUGCCUGGGCCCAGACAAUGGCUAGACAUUCAGUAACUUAGAAACUGAUGGCGGGGGGGGGCACAUCCUCUGCAAGAAGCCAGACUGCUGCGUCAAAUUGAAGAACAAAGAGGUGGAGGCCAGGUGACCAAUUUUUCCUGGGAAACACAACAAAGGACAGAGGGGCAAAUGGGCAUGACUGAGUGUGGGCUGCUGGAAACAGGACAGUCUCCUUCUUGUGGGUUUUCGAGAGGGAACCCAAGCUCGGGGCCCAACCAAGAUGGACUUCGCUGGGACUCCCUGCUUUCUGUGCUAAUGAAGAACUUUCUUACCCUGUGUUCCAGACAACUAAUAAACCCCUCUCUGUUACA